rnacentral:rRNA from 1 species
GUAGGUGGCAAGCGUUGUCCGGAAUUAUUGGGCGUAAAGCGCGCGCAGGUGGGUUCUUUAAGUCUGAUGUGAAAGCCCCCGGGCUCAACCGGGGAGGGUCAUUGGAAACUGGGGAACUUGAGUGCAGGAGAGGAAAGUGGAAUUCCACGUGUAGCGGUGAAAUGCGUAGAUAUGUGGAGGAACACCAGUGGCGAAGGCGACUUUCUGGUCUGUAACUGACACUGAGGCGCGAAAGCGUGGGGAGCAAACAGGAUUAGAUACCCUGGUAGUCCACGCCGUAAACGAUGAGUGCUAAGUGUUGGGGGGUUUCCGCCCCUCAGUGCUGCAGCUAACGCAUUAAGCACUCCGCCUGGGGAGUACGGUCGCAAGACUG